UACGAAGGGUGCAAGCGUUACUCGGAAUUACUGGGCGUAAAGCGUGCGUAGGUGGUUUUUUAAGUCCGUUGUGAAAGCCCUGGGCUCAACCUGGGAAUGGCAGUGGAUACUGGAAGGCUAGAGUGCGGUAGAGGGUAGUGGAAUUCCCGGUGUAGCAGUGAAAUGCGUAGAGAUCGGGAGGAACACCAGUGGCGAAGGCGGCUACCUGGACCAGCACUGACACUGAGGCACGAAAGCGUGGGGAGCAAACAGG
rnacentral:rRNA from 1 species